AUGGAGCAAAGUAGACGGAAGCUUCGAAGAUUAAAGCCGCGGUGUAGGGAGGUCGAAGCAGAAGCAAUUGAGCACGGAGAAGAGAGGUUGAUUCGGAAGCGUAAAGCUGAGGCGAAGAAGCCAGACGGUGGUCUUAUGGAGGCGUCAUGUUGGACAAAUCAGAGUGAGAACGGAGAAGAUGGAGUCGCUGUGACGAAGUCGAGCGCAUACGACGGAUGUUGA